rnacentral:rRNA from 1 species
GCAUGCAAGUCGAGCGAAGCUUUUCAGUAGUUUACUACAGAAAAUGACUGAGCGGCGAACGGGUGAGUAACGCGUGAGCAAUCUACCUUAGUUACAGGGAUAGCCCGAGGAAACUCGGAUUAAUACCUGAUAUUCUUUAAAUUUCGCAUGAAAUUAAAAGGAAAGGUCAGCCGAACUAAGAUGAGCUCGCGUUCUAUCAGCUAGUUGGUGAGGUAAAAGCUCACCAAGGCAACGACGGAUAGCUGGUCUGAGAGGACGAUCAGCCACACUGGGACUGAGACACGGCCCAGACUCCUACGGGAGGCUGCAGCAGGGAAUAUUGCGCAAUGAGCGAAAGCUUGACGCAGCGACACCGCGUGUGGGAUGACGGAUCUAGGUUUGUAAACCACUUUCAGGAGGGAAGAAAAUGACGGUACCUCCACAAGAAGCCCCGGCCAACUACGUGCCAGCAGCCGCGGUAAUACGUAGGGGGCGAGCGUUGUCCGGAUUUAUUGGGCGUAAAGAGCUCGUAGGCGGUUCAACAAGUCGGUCGUAAAAGUUCAGGGCUCAACCCUGAAAUGUCGAUCGAUACUGUUGUGACUAGGAUACGGUAGAGGUGAGUGGAAUUCCGAGUGUAGCGGUGAAAUGCGUAGAUAUUCGGAGGAACACCAAUUGCGAAGGCAGCUCACUGGGCCGCUAUCGACGCUGAGGAGCGAAAGCUAGGGGAGCAAACAGGAUUAGAUACCCUGGUAGUCCUAGCUGUAAACGAUGGAUACUAGACGUAGGAACUGGAUUGACGGUUUCUGUGUCGUAGCUAACGCGUUAAGUAUCCCGCCUGGGGAGUACGGUCGCAAGACUAAAACUCAAAGGAAUUGACGGGACCCCGCACAAGCGGCGGAGCAUGCGGCUUAAUUCGAUGAUACCCGUAGAAC